AGAGAACAUAUUUUGGGCCCUUUUUGUAACAAGAACUUGAAAAAAAUUGAAAUGCCUGCAGCCUCCUGCCCACGGAGGAAUAACACAGAACCAAAAGAAAAAAAAAAUUUAAAAAGAGAGAAAGAAAUUGGACUUGCUCAUGGAGGAAAGCCUGGCAGCAAGUUUUAUCCCCUUUCAAAGCAUCUUUCUACCCCAUCUCCCUGGUUAGGAUACAGCUCACUGCUUCAAUUUUAUCUGCUGUGCAAAAAAAAAGGACCAUCCCCAUAGGUUUGUGCUUGAGGAGUCAAAGGGAAUUCCCAUGCCUUGUGCCCAUCUGUCCCUCUCUGUGUGUGUGUGUGUGUGUGUGCACAGAGUCUUCUCCCAGGUAACAACCAACAGGACAAGAGGAAACAGCCUCAAGUUGCACCAGUGGAAGCUUAGAUUGGAUAUUAGGAAAAUUUCCUCACCAAAGAGCUGUCCAGCAGUGGCACAGGCUGCCCAGGGCACUGGAGUCACCAUCUCUGGAGGCAUUUAAAGGAGGUGUGGAUGUGGCACCUGGGGACAUGGUUCAGUGGUGAGCUUGGCACUGCUGCGGGGAGGGCUGGACUCCAUGAGCUUUGAGAGCUUUUCCAAGCUAAACAAUUCUUGCAAAGCUCCUUGACUCAGUGUCCCAGCCAGGGUGAGCACUGCUUGUGGCCCUGGGCUCAGCAUGGCAGGCCUGGUGCUCACACCACUGCAGACUUCAAGCUGGCCAUGCACAGCUCCGUGUUUCUCCCAAAAAUAUCACUGCUGCAGCACCUGGGGUUCCCCAGUGCUGGGCUUGUUAUCCCUACUGCAUGGAGGAUCGCAUGGCAUGGCAAAGGAUGGAUCCCAUGUGGCAUCCAACCUGCCCUGAUCCAGGCUGGGCACCAGCAGGGGAAGGUGCAGUGCAAUGUCUGCACAACCCAACCAGCCAUCCUACCCCAGCCGCUGCAUGAGAUGGAAAAGCAGGUGGGGAGUGACUCCAAACAGCGCUGUCUGAUUUAUCUUAGCCAAAACCAGCACUGGGGGUUGUUGGGAGAAAGGGAGAAUUCACAUGUUCAGUGACACAUUGGAAGGACCCUGAUCAGAUUCACAGAGCAAGGAGAAAUUCUGCAUCCCUGAUUUGCAGUAUUUUCUGCUAAAACACACACCUGUCAGCCCAGGUAAAAGCAGAUGUUCAAUAGAGAGCUGGGUGGGAUUAGGUAACAAGCAGAUAGGAAUAGGGAAGCAGCAGUAUGUGACUUCUGUGUAGUUCUGAAUGAUGGUGUUCAAGACUGAGCUGCAUAGUAAUAAGAAAUGGAAAAGCAAUGAUGGGAAAAUUAAUAGACGUACACAACAAUGGAGAUGAGAUUGGAUUUGAGGCAGGACUUGGUUCCAAUCAAAUCUGCCUGGGAAGAGGCCUGGCUUCAAAUCGCAUUGUUUGCUUUCCUUUGAAGAACAACAAUAGCCAAAAUAUGACAGAUGAAUAUUCCUGGGGUAGAGGUUGGUAAUUCAACUGCAAACCUCAGGAGAGGAAGGAUUGCAGGAACCACAAGAGGAAGACAAAUUGUAGUCUCAUCAAACAACAGAAAAGUCCAGUGCCUGUGUAUAAAUAUACAGCGCUUGUGUUGAAUUCUUCCAGGAAAAUGCAAGUCUGAAGUGAAUCCCAGGUGUUUGACUUCAUGAAAAUUAGCAAGCCCUGAUUCGAUUUCCUUCCCAGUCGGUGAAUAUGAAAUCCCUGGGCAGAUGCCUCAGUUCCAGGUGUAGGUAGAGUUACUGUAUCCAGGAACCUCUCUCUCCUCUGCAUCUCCCAUUUUUCUGAAAACAAGUCCACACAGUGGCCCCAGCGGCAGCACGUGUCACCCUCUGAGCUGCACUCGCUGAGAUUUAGAUUUCAGCCCCACUGAAGAACAACAAAGGCUCCUUUGUGCCCAUACCCAGAGACAGAGCCCAGAAUUGAUGUUGGAAGGGAUUUAAAGGGCAAACACAGGUGGCUCUAAUCCCCCUUCUCACUUCACCUCGGCAAUGUAGCUCUUCUUUUGGCCAAGUUCAGCAGCCCACUCAUAGAAUCCUAGCAUGGUUUGGCUUAGGAAGGAACUCAUGACCAUCUCAUUCCAUGCCCCCUGCCUUCCACUAUGCCAGGUUGCUCCAAGCCCUGUCCAAUUGGUCUGGAACACCUCCAGGCAUGGAGCUGCCACAGCUUCUCUGGUCAGUCUGUUCCAGGCUCUUUCCAAUCUCACAGAAAAGAAUUUCUUCCCACUCUCCUUCUAAACCUGUCCUUUGUCAGGCUGAACCCAUUCCCCCUUGUUCUCUCCCUCCAGAGCCUUUUCCAAAGUCCCUCUCCAGGUCUCCUCAAGCACCUUCAGGCAUUGGAAGGAGCUCAAAGGUCUCCCUGGAGUGGCUCCAGCAGCUCCACAUCCUUCACCAAUUCCAGAAACCAACCAGAGUUCAAUAAAUAAGAGACAAGAACUAGGUGGUUCAAUCAUGGUUACCAACACACGGAAAUGACACAGGAACCCUCAAGCCCUGUGCUUCUCUGAGACCAGCUCUGCAUUCCUCCCACGCUGAGGGAGGGCAUCAGCAGGAGGGAUCAGCACUGCCAGGGCAAAAGGUGGCCUCUUUUCAUGGCCCUUGAAACUGGACAUGUGAAAUGAGGUACACAAAGCCAAAGGCCAGGUGGACCUGUCAUCUCUGAAUGGCUCUUUACAGUCUUCCCAGGAACAUGAAUGACAGUCACUGUUUUGCCAGGGAAACAGCAUCUGUUGGGAAUGUGGUGCAGAAAAUGUGCUUUCUGCUCCUCUCAGAGCCAAAAUUCCUACCCAUUCUUGUAAGUCCCUCUAAGAUAAGGACCCUGUUCAGCUGAGUGACAGUGAAGCAAAAAAGCAGCCCAGGAAUGCAUUUUCCUGCUCACAAUACCCUCCAUUCACAUGGGUGACUUCGCACUGGCACACAGGAGUAGGGAAGGAACCCAAACACAUCAUUGUACAUAAAAUCAGAUGUGUUGAGGGAUGAACACAUCUCACAGGGAUAUGGAAACCUCCCCUGAAAACCCAGUCAGGGAGAGCCUGAGCUCUUUUGUGGCUCUAGGCAGGAAGAUGCUCAGGAUCUCCCAGAGAGGCUCAGCAGGCAGUAGGAUUGUGCCUGGAUCUCGCUCUGGAAAUGCCAGUGGCUCAACUGAGAGCUGUGGGAAUGAUUUAUAAUGCACUGAGAGGGGCCACAGACCUGCAAGGGUCUUUCAUCAGGAGCAAAGAGCAGCCUGGAGGGUGGGGAAUGCUGGAGCUGUACCACUGUGUGCUCAUCCUUCACCUUAAUGGGGAGCUGCCCCCAAAGUUGCUAUGUAUCACUUUUAUGGUUCUCCUGUUGGGUAUAUUUUGGAGCAGCUGUUUUCUGUGGCUUUUUAUGGUGGGAAGCAGCCAUUUGCCUGCUGUGAUAUCCUCACAACUAAUACUAACUCCUCAUUCCCUUUGGUUUUAUUUGGGUUUUUUAAUCCAUUGGUUUGAUUGGUUUGUGUGGGUUUGUUUGUUUGGGUUUUUGUCUGUUUUGCUUUGAGUUUUUUGUUUGCUUUUUUAUAAGUGAGAGGUGAACUUGGCAUAGCCAAACUCAAGAAAAUGUACACCAGGCUUGACUUUCCAGAAAUUGCUUUUGGCUGGCUUUAACUUCAUCCUCCAGGCUCAGGAUAACCAGUACAUUUGCAGAUUUUCCUCUGCAACAUCAGCUUGCCCAGACUUUGUUCCGUGUUUCACAA
ensembl:lncRNA